rnacentral:rRNA from 1 species
UCGAGAAUCUUCCGCAAUGGGCGAAAGCCUGACGGAGCGACACCGCGUGCAGGAUGAAGGCCUUCGGGUUGUAAACUGCUGUCACGCCAUAGGAAUGUCUGGUCGUUAAUAGCGGCCAGAUUGACCAAAGCGAGAGGAAGCACCGGCUAACUCCGUGCCAGCAGCCGCGGUAAGACAGAGGGGGCAAGCGUUGCUCGGAAUUACUGGGCGUAAAGGGCGCGUAGGCGGGAUGGUAAGUCGGUCGUGAAAUCCCUCGGCUCAACCGAGGAACGUCGAUCGAUACUACCGUUCUUGAGGAUUGCAGAGGAGACUGGAAUUCCCGGUGUAGCGGUGAAAUGUGUAGAGAUCGGGAGGAACACCGGUGGCGAAGGCGGGUCUCUGGGCAAUUCCUGACGCUGAGGCGCGAAAGCGUGGGGAGCAAACGGGAUUAGAUACCCAAGUAGUCCCUGAGCGGGCUGGCAAGGCGCAU